AUUGAACGCUGGCGGCAGGCCUAACACAUGCAAGUCGAACGGUAACAGGAAGAAGCUUGCUUCUUUGCUGACGAGUGGCGGACGGGUGAGUAAUGUCUGGGAAACUGCCUGAUGGAGGGGGAUAACUACUGGAAACGGUAGCUAAUACCGCAUAACGUCGCAAGACCAAAGAGGGAGACCUUCGGGCCUCUUGCCAUCGGAUGUGCCCAGAUGGGAUUAGCUAGUAGGUGGGGUAACGGCUCACCUAGGCGACGAUCCCUAGCUGGUCUGAGAGGAUGACCAGCCACACUGGAACUGAGACACGGUCCAGACUCCUACGGGAGGCAGCAGUGGGGAAUAUUGCACAAUGGGCGCAAGCCUGAUGCAGCCAUGCCGCGUGUAUGAAGAAGGCCUUCGGGUUGUAAAGUACUUUCAGCGGGGAGGAAGGGAGUAAAGUUAAUACCUUUGCUCAUUGACGUUACCCGCAGAAGAAGCACCGGCUAACUCCGUG
rnacentral:rRNA from 1 species